CCUACGGGAGGCAGCAGUGGGGAAUAUUGCACAAUGGGGGAAACCCUGAUGCAGCGACGUCGCGUGAAGGAAGACGUCUUUAGGUAUGUAAACUUCUAUUAGCAGGGAAGAAAAUGACGGUACCUGUCUAAGAAGCCCCGGCUAAAUACGUGCCAGCAGCCGCGGUAAUACGUCGGCGGCCAGCGUUAUCCGGAUUUACUGGGUGUUAAGGGAGCGUAGGCGGGUUAGCAAGUCAGAAGUGAAAGCCCGGGGCUCAACUCCGGGACUGCUUUUGAAACUGUUGAACUAGAUUGCAGGAGAGGUAAGUGGAAUUCGUAGUGUAGCGGUGAAAUGCGUAGAUAUUAGGAGGAACACCAGUGGCGAAGGCAGCUUACUGAACUGUAAAUGACGCUGAGGCUCGAAAGCGUGGGGAGCAAACAGGAUUAGAUACCCGAGUAGUC
rnacentral:rRNA from 1 species